GUAGGCCUGAGACUGACUUUGAGUCCUCCAUAGGGCAGGUCAGGAGGGGGCCUCGCUUCUGGACAGGGCAGGUGUGGAAGGCCGGGGCUCGCAUGGAUCUGACACUGUUGAUACCCUUCCUGGUGUUACUGCUGCUGUUACUAGGUCGAUUAGGGUGCGAACACCUGCAAGGCACCAGAGCUCACCCAAAAGCGAAACAAGGACACCAAGGAGGUCCAGCCACCGGCCCACAGUCAUCAACAAAAUGAAGAGGCCACCCAUGCGCACCAGCACCGUCUGGACCUGGCCCUGCAGGCUGAAGCGAUGCUGCCGCUGCUCCUCUGUGGGAUGUGUCUGUCACUGCCUCAGCCGACGCCCUCCGGAGGUAACGAACUACAAUCUCUGGUCUCCAUCGGAAGGAAACGCGGACCCCACGAAGCCCUACUUCCCAGUCCAGAGGAUGAAAGCGGCCCAGACUGGCCCCACCCCGCAGUCUCACCUUGCCCAGGGACAACACUGUGGACACGGCCCGGAGGGAGAACUCCAGUACCACCAGGGCGGCUACUCGGGCCCCUACCACCGUCAGGAACAGGGUCAGACCAGCCAGGUGCACUGUCUCCAGUGAGGCCCAUUGGGCUCGCAGCCGCUGCUUAUGGGUCUGCCGCUGGGGGUCACUGUGGGGGCAGAACGGGUGCGGGCUGGGAGGCGGGAUCGCGGUGUCCGAUCCUGGGAGGAUGCCAGGGUCCCAGCCCCGCUCUCAGCGUUCUCCAGGAGAGACCAGAUUCCGCGCAGUGACCAACUGCCCGGGCGGGGCUGGGUGGCACCGAUGCGGGCACUCACUUGACACAGGCCACGAAGAAGUAAACUUUCAGGAGACUGUUGAGAACCGAGACUCCAAGGGCCGCGAUCAGGCCUGAGCCGGACAAAGGAGAGGACUUCCAGAUCACCAAGCCUUCCUAAAGUCCGGCUGUCUGCUCACCCGGCCUCCCCAGACUCAGGUGUGGCCCGCACUCAGCCUGAAGAGUGAGCCGGCCCUCUCCACUCAAGUUCCCAAAGCACACGGUCUUCCCCACUCAAGUCCCCACAGCUCUAGGUCUCUUCAGGCCGUUGCCCCUUCUGAGAUCUGUCUAGUAGUCUAGCUUCUACAGGCCGCAAAGAAAGGGGGUUUGGAAUCCCCUUAAGAUUCAGGCUGGGCCGGGCAGUGGUGGCGCACGCCUUUAUUCCCAGCACUCGAGAGGCAGAGCCAGGCGGAUCUCUGUGAGUUCAAGGCCAGCCUGGUCUACAGAGCGAGAUCCAGGACAGGCACCAAAAACUACACUGAGAAACCCUGUCUCAAAAAAAAAAAAAAAAAAGAUUCAGGUUGAAUGCAACCUGCCUCCGGUUCAUACUGUUCCUCUUGGGUCCACUAGGUGGCAGCCCCCACCUGGGCAGUUGGCCGCUGGUUUCUGGGUUCUUCCUAGAAAAAGGCUUGAGAGCUGAGGGUUUGAGGGUCAGGGUCAGGGAAGUAGAGGGGAGUCAUGAAAGAUACACAAAAUAGAAAACUUUAUUGGAGUGUUCAUCCAGAGCAGUUUUUUUUUUUUUUUUGCACUUGGGGUGUGUUUGGGGAAGGUGGUUGGUUCCUGGGUGCCUUACAAACACACCUUCUCGGUUCCCAACAGUCUCCCCGAGUGUGGCUGCAGUCUGGAGGAGGGGCCCAGAGUCCGUCGUUGGCCCUGCUGUGGCACUGCCCGGUGACUUGCGUGGGCAGGCGCCCUCUUAUCUGGGCUCCCAUCGCCUGAGCCCCCUCUGGAUGCUCACAAAUGGGAAGCCCUCAAAUAAAGCCUGAACUCAGGGAUGCUCCCAGAGCCACGCUGAGGUCCUAA